GAUCAUGGCUCAGGACGAACGCUGGCGGCGUGCUUCAUACAUGCAAGUCGAACGAGAAGCUGACUUCGGUCAGUGGAAAGUGGCGGACGGGUGAGUAACACGUAGGAAAUCUGCCCUUUGGAGGGGGACAACAGUUGGAAACGACUGCUAAUACCCCAUAUGAGCUAAGCUGAAAUGCUUAUCUUGAAAAACUCCGGUGCCAAAGGAUGAGCCUGCGCCUGAUUAGCUAGUUGGUGGUGUAAUGGACUACCAAGGCGACGAUCAGUAGCUGGUUUGAGAGGAUGAUCAGCCACAAUGGGACUGAGACACGGCCCAUACUCCUACGGGAGGCAGCAGUAGGGAAUUUUGCGCAAUGGGGGAAACCCUAGACGCAGCAACGCCGCGUGAUUGAUGAAGCCCUUCGGGGUGUAAAGAUCUGUCAGUAGGGACGAAUUUUGACGGUACCUACAGAGGAAGCACCGGCUAACUCCGUGCCAGCCGCCGC
rnacentral:rRNA from 1 species